CAUGCAAGUCGAGCGGCAGCACGGGAAGCUUGCUUCCUGGUGGCGAGCGGCGGACGGGUGAGUAAUGCAUAGGAAUCUGCCCGAUAGUGGGGGAUAACCUGGGGAAACCCAGGCUAAUACCGCAUACGUCCUACGGGAGAAAGCAGGGGCUCUUCGGACCUUGCGCUAUCGGAUGAGCCUAUGUCGGAUUAGCUGGUUGGUGAGGUAAUGGCUCACCAAGGCGACGAUCCGUAGCUGGUCUGAGAGGAUGAUCAGCCACAUCGGGACUGAGACACGGCCCGAACUCCUACGGGAGGCAGCAGUGGGGAAUAUUGGACAAUGGGCGCAAGCCUGAUCCAGCCAUGCCGCGUGUGUGAAGAAGGCCCUCGGGUUGUAAAGCACUUUCAGUGGGGAAGAAAGCCUUGGGGCUAAUACCCUCGAGGAAGGACAUCACCCACAGAAGAAGCACCGGCUAACUCCGUGCCAGCAGCCGCGGUAAUACGGAGGGUGCGAGCGUUAAUCGGAAUUACUGGGCGUAAAGCGCGCGUAGGUGGCUUGAUAAGCCGGUUGUGAAAGCCCCGGGCUCAACCUGGGAACGGCAUCCGGAACUGUCAGGCUAGAGUGCAGGAGAGGAAGGUAGAAUUCCCGGUGUAGCGGUGAAAUGCGUAGAGAUCGGGAGGAAUACCAGUGGCGAAGGCGGCCUUCUGGACUGACACUGACACUGAGGUGCGAAAGCGUGGGUAGCAAACAGGAUUAGAUACCCUGGUAGUCCACGCCGUAAACGAUGUCGACUAGCCGUUGGGAGCCUCGAGUUCUUAGUGGCGCAGUUAACGCGAUAAGUCGACCGCCUGGGGAGUACGGCCGCAAGGUUAAAACUCAAAUGAAUUGACGGGGGCCCGCACAAGCGGUGGAGCAUGUGGUUUAAUUCGAUGCAACGCGAAGAACCUUACCUACCCUUGACAUCGUGCGAACUUGGUAGAGAUACUUUGGUGCCUUCGGGAACGCACAGACAGGUGCUGCAUGGCUGUCGUCAGCUCGUGUUGUGAAAUGUUGGGUUAAGUCCCGUAACGAGCGCAACCCUUGUCCCUAUUUGCCAGCGAUUCGGUCGGGAACUCUAGGGAGACUGCCGGUGACAAACCGGAGGAAGGUGGGGACGACGUCAAGUCAUCAUGGCCCUUACGGGUAGGGCUACACACGUGCUACAAUGGUCGGUACAAAGGGUUGCAAAGCGGCGACGUGGAGCUAAUCCCAUAAAGCUGAUCUCAGUCCGGAUCGGAGUCUGCAACUCGACUCCGUGAAGUCGGAAUCGCUAGUAAUCGUGAAUCAGAAUGUCACGGUGAAUACGUUCCCGGGCCUUGUACACACCGCCCGUCACACCAUGGGAGUGGACUGCACCAGAAGUGGUUAGCCUAACUUCGGAGGGCGAUCACCACGGUGUG
rnacentral:rRNA from 2 species